UACGUAGGUGGCAAGCGUUGUCCGGAAUUAUUGGGCGUAAAGCGCGCGCAGGCGGUCCUUUAAGUCUGAUGUGAAAGCCCACGGCUCAACCGUGGAGGGUCAUUGGAAACUGGGGGACUUAGUACAGAAGAGAAGAGUGGAAUUCCACGUGUAGCGGUGAAAUGCGUAGAGAUGUGGAGGAACACCAGUGGCGAAGGCGACUCUUUGGUCUGUAACUGACGCUGAGGCGCGAAAGCGUGGGGAGCAAACAGG
rnacentral:rRNA from 1 species